GAUGAACGCUGGCGGCGUGCUUAACACAUGCAAGUCGAACGGUGAAGCUCCAGCUUGCUGGAGUGGAUCAGUGGCGAACGGGUGAGUAACACGUGAGCAACCUGCCCCUGACUCUGGGAUAACAGCCGGAAACGGCUGCUAAUACCGGAUAUGCACCAUGAACGCAUGUUCUGUGGUGGGAAAGAUUUUUCGGUUGGGGAUGGGCUCGCGGCCUAUCAGCUUGUUGGUGAGGUAAUGGCUCACCAAGGCGUCGACGGGUAGCCGGCCUGAGAGGGUGACCGGCCACACUGGGACUGAGACACGGUCCAGACUCCUACGGGAGGCAGCAGUGGGGAAUAUUGCACAAUGGGCGAAAGCCUGAUGCAGCAACGCCGCGUGAGGGAUGACGGCCUUCGGGUUGUAAACCUCUUUUAGCAGGGAAGAAGCGAGAGUGACGGUACCUGCAGAAAAAGCGCCGGCUAACUACGUG
rnacentral:rRNA from 1 species